rnacentral:rRNA from 1 species
ACACGUGGUAUCCUGUCUGAAUAUGGGGGGACCAUCCUCCAAGGCUAAAUACUCCUGACUGACCGAUAGUGAACCAGUACCGUGAGGGAAAGGCGAAAAAGAACCCCGGCGAGGGGAGUGAAAAAGAACCUGAAACCGUGUACGUACAAGCAGUGGGAGCACCUUCGGGUGUGACUGCGUACCUUUUGUAUAAUGGGUCAGCGACUUAUAUUCUGUAGC